rnacentral:snRNA from 1 species
AUGGCAGCACAUCCACUAAAAUUGAAACAAUAUAGAGAAGAUCAGCAUGAUCCCUGCACAUGGGUGACACACAAAUUUGUGAAGUGUUCUAUAUUUCU